rnacentral:sRNA from 1 species
AGGUUCCACAAUGGUACAGGCAGCAUCACGCUGCACAAUGGUUUCCAGGCAGUGAAAGAGGGUGAUUCAGCAAGCCACUCUUCUUCUUCUAUUUUCUUUAACCUCCCCUUCACUUUUUAUUUUUAUGGGGGUGGGUGGUGCUUGCUAUAUGCUUACCUUUUUCUUUUAUUUUUUCAUUUUUACAAAUAUCCUUUUUUGUCCUCACCCCUCAAUUCCUAGGGGCUUGAGUGAGUUUAAGAUUGGGUUUUCUUGGAAAUCACCUGUCCAUCGUUAAUUUUAAACAAUCUCCAUAUCUCCAAAGAAUCUCUUCCAUAUUACAGUCUGGAAUGUGGUUAAUGAAAAACAAGUAGGGAGGAUUUCUGGGGCAAACACUGCCGGAUCAGGAUCGUAGUUCUCAGGCACGGAAUGGCUAGUGUGAGAAACACCAACGUCAGGCCCAUCUCAGAUCUUCACUAUGGCAACUCAUGCAAGAAACUGUUGAAUUAGACCCGUUUCCUAUAGAUGAGAAACCAUACAAGCUGUGGUAUUUAUGAGCCUCCAUUUCUUAUACUACUGCAGUGAACCAACAUUGGAUGUGAAAAUUGCCUUUUGUCAGGGAUUCGAUAAACAAGUGGAUGUGUCAUAUAUUGCCAAACAUUACAACAUGAGCAAAAGCAAAGUUGACAACCAGUUCUACAGUGUGGAAGUGGGAGACUCAACCUUCACAGUUCUCAAGCGCUACCAGAAUCUAAAGCCUAUUGGCUCUGGGGCUCAGGGCAUAGUUUGGUCUCAAGAAAUAGCACCAACCUGUGAGCCAAAGGAGCCAUCUUAAUGUCUUUAGGUCAUUAAUUUUAGACAUAGCAUGUUCUUUACUACAAGGCUACUUUGAGAGUCACUGUGUCACUGUUGGGCUUCUGGCAUAAAUAAAGUUAACAUAAUAUACUCAAUAAACUCUUUCACUCCUUAGCUAACUCCAACAUCAUCCAGACACUGAUGCUCAUCCAAGUUGCCGUGUAGAUUUAUAAGAAGAAUCUUGUUAAGAUAAAAUAACUAAACAUAAAUCAUACUUUAAAUUUUAUUGCCAUGAAAUGGCCAAAGGUAGGAAUGUAGCAGUAACCCCGGAAGAGCAGUCCUUGGUUCUUACUCUUUUGUCUUGGGGGAGUGACAUGUAAAAGCCUCUUCAACCAGAAGCACAGGUGCCCUUGAGCAGCAGGAGAGCAUAUCACUUAUAUCUAAAAGGGAAUAUUUUGUCAAUGAAAGUACAUGCUAAAAUAUAUUAUAUUGAUGGUCGUAAAAAUAAUGUUAUUAGAAAUUGUUUUAAACAAACAUUUUUGAAAAUGAAAAUAAAAAUACAGUUAAUAUUUUAUAACUUAUAUGAAUUGCCUAAAUCUCUUUUUAAUGAGAAGAAUAAUUACUGUGGUACAUCUCAUGUAUAUUAAUCUGUGGAAAUUUCUGAUAUUUUUCUGAAGUCAACUUUUUAAUAUGAAUUUAUUAUUCUUAAGUUUUAAUGAAACUUCUGGUAAUCUUCAAAAUUGCCUGUUAUGGUUAAUAAAUUUGAAAUAUUGACACAUUUAAUAUAUAUAACAAUAUUUUUAUUUGAAAAAUGUUCUCAAAAGGGGCUUAGGUAUCUGCUAAGAACAAAUUUUGCUAAAUUGAAAAUAUUCUUUUUAUUAAUUGAAAAUAUUCUUAAUUCUAAUGUAUUUUUGUAUUGUAAUGUAUAAGUAUUUGAGUCCAAGCUUUUUCACAGACACUGAGUUUUCCCCCCUUCAUUUGGUGUUCCAUUAUCCAAGAAAUAAUUUCAUAAUACCACACUUGCCAAAUAGAUUGCCGAAAUUUAUGGCUUUUUAAAUGGUUUGCCAAAUUUAGAUGCAGAAAAAUUAUAGGCCUUUAAAAUCAUAUUUCAAUCCUGCACAGAAUAUAAAUAUUUGGAAAUUAGAAAUUACACCAGGUCCCACAUAGAAUAUAAAUAGAUCAUAAAAUUCAGAACUUUAUCGAAAGACUGUUCUCACAAAUUAAGAUAUUCUAAAGUAUAAUUAUGGAAUUUCAAAAUGAAAUCUUAUCCUCUCUUUGAGAAUGCAUGAUUUCAUUUGAUUUGUUCAGUUAAUUUCUUUAGUCCAUUUCAGCACAUUCUUGUGGGCUUCAAGUUGCAAGUUUUGUUUAUAAUAAUAGCUAUUCCUUAAAAGUUUCAAGAGUUGAAUACUGGGAUGCUCCAUUUAUGAAAUACUAUGAUUAAACAUUUCCAAGUAAUUUUGCAAAAAAAAGCACCCAAAGUUUAGAGGACUUAUGUAUAAAAAGUUAUUUUUCAAUAGUAAGUAUGAGAAAUGCCAAGAAAAUAUGCCGAUUGCUAUUUCAAAGUAUUUUCAUUUUUUAAAUU